GUGGCGUGAUGUCAUCAGACAGGGCGAGGACACCUCGCUGCACCGUGGCUGUCGGACUUGUUAAGCAAGCGCAGGAAUGCGGCACGACUCAGCUGCUUUCUGCUUUUUAACACACGCUGAGAUCUCUGUGCCGGAGCCAUGGACAUCACCGCGUAUGUAGGACGCUGCUUCAUCUUCUUCGUCUUGGCCAUUGUCCUGGAUGUGACCGGCCUCGUCCUGUUCCUGCUCGGCAUCUUCGCCCCACUCAGCUUCUGGGAUUUCUUCGUGCUCUCGGGGCCCAUCAUCAUCUUCCUCAGCCUCCUCUUCUGGAUCUUCUGGUACCUGGGGAACCUCAACGUGCCCUACCAGCAGCUCCUACCCUGAAGGAAUGGAAGGAGUGGACAGGGCCAAGGGAUUGGGGACUCUCAGAGUUUACGAGCAAAGCGGGGAAAUCAAGCUCUUUAGGGGCCCUAUGAAGUGUACGCCCUGUUUUAACACAGAGGGAUCUGCUGUUGUUAUGACGUGUCAAAGCCCUAAAUGAGGAAUACAACUUCCACAAGACUGUGAGGAACUCCCCAGGACUCGAACUGCAAUCUGUGCACUUUGUUUAAGGGCGCUUGUUCUGAAAUGGGAACGAAGCCCCAUCAGUGAUGCCGCUGUUACUGUUCUGUAUUUACAUUUGAGAAAUAAAUGUGAUUUUAAUGCCGAAGGUGAGUUGAAGUGGAUCACAGGUAUACAGAGAAUUCACUCUAAACACUGUAAUGACGUUCAGAUUCCAGGCCAAAGCUGUCCGACUGGAAGAUCCAGUGGGUGUGUGUGUGUAUGUGUGUGUGUGUGUAUGUGUGUCUUGUGCUCAUUGAAACUCAGGAAACCUCUGAUUCUGAAAAUACUGUAGCAUUAAGAUUGAUCAUAUGAAUUGCUAUAGCUGGUAGAAAUGUUCAGGUUACAGCACGGAAUAAAACAAGACAGAAACCAGGAA